AGGAGAUAGCUGGUCAAACUGGCAAAGGAUGCUUCCUUCUUAGCUGGUGUGCAAAGGGGACCACUGCAAAUACACCAUGAAGAAUUUAUUUAUUUUACCAUCAUCACACUAUUUUUGUUUGUUUGUUUUUGUUUUUGAAACAGGGUCUCACUCUUUCACUGAGGCCAGAGUGCAGUGGCACAAAGAGAGCUAACUGAAAUCUCUACUUCCUGGGCUCAAGCAAUCCUCCCACCUCAGCCUCCUGAGUUGCUGGGACCACAGGUGCAUGCCACCAUGCUGGGCUAACUUUAUUAUUUUUUGUAGAGAUGGGGGGUCUUGGACUUCUGGGCUCAAGUGAUCUGCCUCGGCCUCCCACAGUGCAGGGAUUACAGGCACGCACCACCAUGCCCAGCCUCACACCAUGUUAAUUGUUUUAUCCAUCCUCAUCCAUACCCCACUUACCAUAGCAUGUACAAAAGGACAGAAAACAUAAACUCAUGCCUGGCAGAGAGCUUCUACUCUGAAGAAACAACAACCGAAGUGUCACAGGAUGAAUCUAUGCUAUUUGGAGAGGGAGUAUACAUUUAACUUGAAGCAAUCCCUGGAAGAAAAAUUCUACUAGCAGAGAUGCUCUGAGCAGAGAGAAAGCCUGUCUAUAUAGUGAAAGAAUGAAACCAAUACAUUGAAAAAAACUGAGAAGAGAAAGAGGUAGAGACUUCAUCUGAUACAAGCAUGCUUGAAACAAGAGACACCUGUAUGAUUCCAUCUUCCCAGGAGCUAGCAGGCAGUUCUUGUUGAGUUCAAGCCAGUUGAGACCAUCAACCCUUCAACUGAGCCUGCAUGGCCCUGUUUUCAGGGAGGUGGAUUUGCGAUUUGUUCUCCUUCUCCUUGCUCAGCAGCCUGGUAAGCAAUCUCACAAAAUAAAAUCUUUUCUUUUUUGCAAA
rnacentral:lncRNA from 1 species